AAGUAAAAGUCGUAACAAGGUCUCCGUAGGUGAACCUGCGGAGGGAUC
rnacentral:rRNA from 2 species